rnacentral:piRNA from 1 species
UGCUGAAGAGGAAACUAGAUGUGGAG